CAAUAAAUUAAUAAAACAAGUGCCUUCUUCUUAAGCACUCUUCUUUCUCCAUUGAAGAUCAAACUUCUCCUUCACGCCAUUUAGCCUUUCAAAUCAGAUGAAACUUCAAACCCUAGAGUUUUGAAAUUCAAAUCAUGCUUCUUUCUCUAUUGUUGCAGAAUCUGAAGAAGAAUCAGUUGCAAAAUUACUAAACCCUUUCCUUUCAAUCUUUUUUUUUUUAAAUUUUUUUUGCAAAUCACAAACAUCCUAAAUCGUAACCUGAUCAUACGAAACCUGGUAUGUUAACUCUUAUUAUAUCAAGAUUGGGUACGUUUGAUUCCAUUGUUCCAAGUAUGUUACUCAAUCGCUAAGGUUCCGGCGACCAUUCAAGAGGGUCCGAUGAGGGCUAGGAGACGCCUGCGGUUCUUGCUACUAUGAUGACGAUUGUGUUUAUGCAGCGCCUUUGCUUCUUUUCUGUUCGUUUUUCGCACAACGGGUAUUGUUUAUAUUUUUCGUUUUUAGGUUUUGGAUUCACGUGUGUUUGGAUUUGUGCAUUGCAAUUUCAAUGUUAGAAUUGGGGUUCUUCAAAUGGGAUUUCACGAUUAGGGUUCUAACAGGUUUGAUAAACACAUUUGGUGUUGUUGAGGAUUGAUUUUUUUUGAAUCCUGUUCAUUUAGAUUUUGCAGUUGGGAUUGAUAUUUUUACUAUAACCUCUGGAUUUUAUACUGAGGAUUGUGUUUGCUCUUUUAGUUGAUUUAAAGGUCCAACAUGUUUUUUUUUUGUUACAUUUAUUUAUUCAAGAUUAUGAAAUAUGUUAUUAAGUUUGUGUUGUUUUCACGUCAUAAUAGUGCGACAGAUAAGCUGGAGGGUUAGCAACAUUGUGUAAACUGGAGGGUUCUUAUUCAUAAUCUUCUCCUGAUGUCACUAUGGCUUUAAUUUUAGUUUUUAAACCGCUGGUAUUCAACUUCAUCCUUUUUUUCAUGAUUUGGAACCAGGUAAUUUUGAUUCUAAGGUUCUUUGUAAAUCAAUGGUGUUUAUUUAUUUUCUGUGUGUCGUACAGAAAUCAGCAUCGGCGAGUUAUUUAGGUGUUUCCCUUCUGUUGGGGCUCUGAAACUCUACGCAAGAAAUGGCGUAACAGAAAUCGAUAAGUAGAAAGGAUCGCACCUCAAUGGUUUGUGGUUUUCGCUUAAUCAUAAAUCAUCUCUGAAAAUUAAAUUUGAGAGUAUGACCGUGUAAUCACUUGGGAAAUAGUAAAAGCCACAAAAAGAGGUAUGACCUAAUGGGUGGACGGAGUUGUUGUUAAUCAAAUAUAAAAUUAUUGCAAUGUUAAAGUUAUUCUAAUAUUUUUGUUUAGGAAUUUUAUAAGUGAGUCUGGCUUAAUAUACUGAUGAAACAACUGACCCUAUAAAACUACCGAAACAACUAUUGAAUAGUGCUCUGGAUGCCAUGAACAUAUUAGAAGCAGCAAUAUAUGCAUGGAGAGACAGGAUUGAGGAACAUGUAAGUUAUGAGCAAGAACAUCAUGGUCAUGCAAGGAUCAUGUUUCUGAACUUGACAAGAUUGAGUUGUUAAUAACCAGGGCCGAUGAAACAACUGAUAAAAUUACUAAAACAACUGAUGAAGAGCGCCUUGAUAACCAAGGCUCAUGAAACAACUAACAAAGUUACUAUUUUUUACUAUACAAUAUUGCUUUUCAAUUAUUAUGAUAAAUUUUGCAAGACGUGAUCUUGGAUUUAUAGAAGUGCACUUUCUUUCAUUUAGUCCAACUGAUAAGAUGGCAACUUUAACAUAUAUUGAUGGUGCUAGCAAGAUGCAUAGAGUUAGCAAAGGUGUACGAAAGCAGGUAUCCAAAACUCAUUUGAAUAUCAAAAAUUUAGAAGUCAAAUAUGUGCCAAAAUAUACUAUGUUUACUUUUUUGUUAACUUACUAUCAAUAAUUUUCAAGUCCUUAUAAAUGUUAACACCAUAAAAAUGUUUAGUAUUCUAAAAAUAUUUUGCUAAUCUUGUGUUUGGUUAUACUAAUAUGGUUGAUGAGCUACCCAUGAAAGUACAAUCGUGAGAAAGGAAAAAACCAUCGGUUGCUACUGACGAGGAACGAGAAGUCGUGCAAAUGCCACAUUUGCAUUGAAACUUAAAGCAAAGUGGUAAGCGAUGGCAACCGGUCAUUAUGAUUAAAGUGCUAUCGUUAUUGAUGAUGAUGAAAGAUGGGUCUAACAGCUAUUAGAUUACGAGCUUAUGCAAAAUAAAAGCUUGGAAGACCACAUAUUGGGUCAGUCAGGGACAAGUCAGAAGAUGGCCUUACAUUUGCCUUUCGCUUCACUGAUGCUACAGUUUCUAGCCAGGGUGCUGAUUUGAUUCGUAAAGGACGAAAAAGAAAAAGUCAAAAUGUUCAAGAAGGUUAUGGUUCAGCUUCUGCCCUACCAGAGCAUGGCAUAUACCUAGCAGCAUCUGUAUACCAACCAGUUGUACAGUUUACAGAUCGACUCACGUUAAUGAUGCCUCAAAAGUAUUCUCAGCUAGGGUAAGCUUACUAAUGAAUGAUGGAUUGCUGGCCUUUCUUGAAAACUUAGUAAAAGAUCACUUCUUGCCAACUAUGUUUGUGGAUUACAUGAAAGGCAUGCAACAAGAAAUAUCAAGUCCAGCUGCAUUUCGACCACGAGCAAAUCCUGUUACUGCUUACACCCCAUCUGUUUCUAACGGACGUAGUGAUGCAGUUACGCCAGUUGGUAUCGUAAAAGCAAUAGGUAUGAUAUGUUUAUCAAAAUUAUCAUCUUGGUUGUUUUUUAUAUAUUUUUUGAAAUAGAUGGAUGCAACGGAAGAACUUGAACUUUUGUUUGAUUACACUCGCGGCCAGCCUUUAAAUUUCGUCUUCCUUGACGAUGGUAUGUUAUGUUUCUAAUUGUAUAUAAGUUUUAUUGUCUUCUUUUUUUUGUUUUUUUGAAUUCGUAUGAACUGGGUUAUGUCUAAUUGAUGAUUGUGAAUGAUUUAACAAGAAUUGCUUCUAA